rnacentral:lncRNA from 1 species
CGCUCGGGCGCAAGCGCCUCCAGAACCUCAAUGUCGCCAUAGGCGGCGGCGGUCAGAGCCACGCGCCUCGGCCAGAGCGCUGACGGAUGGCGUAGGAGCGCCAGCGCUCUCGCGCGCGACCCCUCAACGCCAUAGCCCCGUUCGUGAGGCAACGGCCACAGGGCAAAGCAAACUUGGUGGCCGCCGAGUGAAAGCCGUUCCACGUGCGCCAGGUGCUCGGUGUGGAGCACCGCCGUGCACGACAUGCACCCUUCGCCGCGCCAGCACCGACCAAACACUUGGUCGCGCAUCGCCGCCGCCCAUGCGCGGGGAAAGUGCCUCGACAGGAUGUCGGCCACGUUGGUGCCGACGGCCGGGUCGGCGGCGGCGAGCACGUGCCGAUGAAGGCGCGCGGUCGUACACGCGCCGUUGAGGCUAAAGUGGAUGCGUUUGGCGUCCUCGUUGUUGUCGGCAUCGCCCAGGGCCUCGCGCGCCAAGGCGCACAUGCGGUCGGCCUCGUCAAAGCGCCCCGCGAGAAAGGCCUCCCACAGGGCCUCGACUCGAUUCGACGUCCACGCGGGCGUGCGCGGCUCGUUGCACUCUAUGCGGCCUAUGGCGGGCGCGUGCUGGCGGAUGAUCGCGAUGGCCUCGGGACCGAUCCGCCGUCUCAGCACCAACCCGACACCGGAAGCCGUCGCAUUGAAUUGCUGGACGCCACGACACAAAAAGGCGAGACGGUCGAGGGCGACCGGGUCGUCGCCGGCGUCCGCCGCGCGAUCGAGCACGUUGGUGACAUCCACGCAGCCGAGCAGGCUCCACAAGCGGCUCAGGGGCUCGCCGAUCUCCUUGGCGGUGAGGCAUUCUCGAACGCAUGCAUAGUGACCGCGUGCGAUGGCACCCUCGACACCCAGAACGUCGGGGCUCUCCCACGUGUACUGACGAAAGACGCACGUGCCAACCAUCUCGUGGGCCAGCGCCGCGGCGGCAGCGUCGACACGAGCGCUCUCCUGGUAGCAACAGACGGCGUCGUAGAGCAGCCACGACGCCAGCGCCCGGCGCGACUCUGCCUCGCCCAGGUGGGCAAAGGCCGGUAGAACAAGGGCCUCGAUUCGGCGGUACAGCGCGCGUGCGUCGUCGAGCCGGCCGGCGGCGAGCAGCGCGGUAAAGUGCGUCGGAUAGCACAGUGUGCUGCAGCCCAUGUAAACCGUCAACUCGAUGUUGUCCGAGCGCGCGCCGCACGAGCAUCUGUCGCACACGUGCAUGUCGCAACCGCACACGCACUCGCCGAUGCCCUGCGCCGGCCGCAGAGCCAGCGCCUGGCGAUGGUCGAGGACGCGGAGCGCGCGCGCGGCGCCCACGUAGCCGACGGCGCUGCGUGCGUCGAGGAAGGAGACAAUGUGGCAGUGCACGUCGGGCGGGAGAUCGACAAGCGUCAGUGGCGGUGGUGACAAAUGGUCUUUGUCGGCCAGAGGCUGGAUGGCGGUGGCGGCAUCGCAGCGGGAUCGGCUAUCGUCAUGGGAGCCGUCGCGAUCGACCGGCCUCGCAUCGCAGACUGCACCGUCGAUGCAGUUGCGGCCGCCAGAGACCUCGGUCUUUUUCUUCUCCUCGUUGUGACCAUCGCGAUCCACUGCACCGUGGGAGAAAGGAGCGCGCGACACCAAAAGUACAUACGAGGCCACGGACAAGAGCACCGACCACAAAAGGCCAAACAGCCACCACGAACCGUCCAUCAUGACCAACAUAUGCAGCGCGAGCAGAAUAAAGUUGUUUCUCUCUCU